rnacentral:rRNA from 1 species
GUGCGAGACCGAUAGCGAACAAGUACCGUGAGGGAAAGAUGAAAAGAACUUUGAAAAGAGAGUUAAAGAGUACCUGAAACUGUUGAAAGGGAACCGUAUCGUUUCCAGUGUUGUAUCCUGUGCAUAUUUCAUUGGCGGAAGAAAUUUUGCUGGUGCCCUGUGCAUGGGUGUGACGUCAGAGUCAGUUUGUAUGCUGCGGGAGAUGGGUAGUGAGGAGGUGAACCACUUGUGGUUGUUAUAGCUCGCUAUUCUAGUUGCCGUGGUUGAGACUGAGGUGCCUAC